rnacentral:sRNA from 2 species
AACCUGGAAAGACCAACAAAGGCAUCGGGGGGCAGGGACGGGGGACCCAUUUCCGGUCCGCCGCGAGCCGGCAACGGCUUGCGCGACCUUGGGGUGAAGUCGCCUCCCGCGACCGGGCAUACCUUCCCGCCCGAACCCGACAGCUAACCUCGCAGGCGUGCCGGAGGGAAUUC